rnacentral:rRNA from 1 species
AUACGUAGGGGGCAAGCGUUGUCCGGAAUUAUUGGGCGUAAAGCGCGCGCAGGCGGUUCUUUAAGUCUUGUGUUUAAUCCCGGGGCUCAACCCUGGUUCGCAUGGGAAACUGGAGGGCUCGAGUGCAGGAGAGGAAAGUGGAAUUCCACGUGUAGCGGUGAAAUGCGUAGAGAUGUGGAGGAACACCAGUGGCGAAGGCGACUUUCUGGCCUGUAACUGACGCUGAGGCGCGAAAGCGUGGGGAGCAAACAGGAUUAGAUACCCUGGUAGUCCACGCCGUAAACGAUGAGUGCUAGGUGUCGGGGGUGUCAUGCCCUCGGUGCCGAAGUUAACACAGUAAGCACUCCGCCUGGGGAGUACGCUCGCAAGAGUGAA